CCUACGGUGUGCUGCAGUGGGGAAUAUUGGACAAUGGGCGAAAGCCUGAUCCAGCCAUGCCGCGUGUGUGAAGAAGGCCUUCGGGUUGUAAAGCACUUUCAGUGGGGAAGAAAGCCUUGGGGCUAAUACCCUCGAGGAAGGACAUCACCCACAGAAGAAGCACCGGCUAACUCCGUGCCAGCAGCCGCGGUAAUACGGAGGGUGCGAGCGUUAAUCGGAAUUACUGGGCGUAAAGCGCGCGUAGGCGGUCUGAUAAGCCGGUUGUGAAAGCCCCGGGCUCAACCUGGGAACGGCAUCCGGAACUGUCAGGCUAGAGUGCAGGAGAGGAAGGUAGAAUUCCCGGUGUAGCGGUGAAAUGCGUAGAGAUCGCGAGGAAUACCAGUGGCGAAGGCGGCCUUCUGGACUGACACUGACGCUGAGGUGCGAAAGCGUGGGUAGCAAACAGGAUUAGAUACCCGAGUAGUC
rnacentral:rRNA from 1 species